rnacentral:rRNA from 1 species
CCUACGGGUGGCAGCAGUAGGGAAUAUUGCUCAAUGGGGGAAACCCUGAAGCAGCAACGCCGCGUGGAGGAUGAAGGUUUUCUGAUUGUAAACUCGUUUUUUUAGAGAAGAUAAUUACGGUAUCUAACGAAUAAGCACCGUCUAACUCCGUGCCAGCAGCCGCGGUAAUACGGAGGGUGCAAGCGUUACUCGGAAUCACUGGGCGUAAAGAGCGCGUAGGCGGGAUAGCAAGUCAGAUGUGAAAUCCUAUGGCUUAACCAUAGAACUGCAUUGGAAACUGUUAUGCUAGAGUAUGGGGGAGGUAGGUGGAAUUCGUGGUGUAGGGGUAAAAUGCGUAGAGAUCAAGAAGAAUACUCAUUGCGAAGGCGACCUGCGAGAACAUAACUGACGCUGAUGCGCGAAGGCGUGGGGAGCGAACAGGAUUAGAUACCCGGGUAGUC